ensembl:lncRNA
UGUAUAUAACUUCCUAAAAUAAUCCAGUAGAUACAGAACAAAAAUUACUUACCUCAGGGUCUUUGUAAAUCUGUUUCUUAGGUUGGUUUCCCCAAGAAGCACCAUUAAACAAACAUUCAAGCACAAGUCGUUUCUCUGGAGAUGAAGGAGUAGGAAGAUGAGAUUAAAAAGCCAGGAAAGGAUGCCUAUGAAGCCAGUCACACGAAACAUCCAGAUGUUUUUAAUCCAUGCAAAGUAAUGCAUAGUAAUGAUGGAUAUGCACUACAUUUUUCAACUGCUUUGCAAAAUGUAGUUAUAUAAAAAAGUUUUAAAAACACAAUUCUUUCAAAAUUUGUUGUUUUUUUUUUUU